CCCAUAAUGACGUCACACAUUUGAAAUUGGUCAACAUGGCGGUACAGCACUCUCCGCGUUAAUACACUCCAAGGCCCAGCGGUAUCGAAAUGAAACUCAUUCCAACUCAGGAAUAGUUGUUACACACUUACUGAUUGUUACUAUUUCGGGUUAAUCAAGAAAAGUGCAGUUCAUAAGUUAUACAAUAUAAGAUUAGUACACACAAACACUUUGUCAUCCUGAAGAGGAAAAUACCUUCAAGUGCUACUAUUUUAGGUUUCGUUAUGAUCAAACCGGAAAUCAGACAGGAAGAGUAUCCAUGUACGUCCAUCUAAUCUGAGAGCACAUUAACAUUGCAUAUCUGCUGGAUUAUAACAGAUCAGACACUGCAGAGACACAAUACAUAUGUACCAUGUAACAGAAAGGGUUUCCUGUCAAAGUUUUCAGGUUGCAUUUUGGUCAUUUUCAGAGCAUAUCACCCUGAAGUGGAAAUAUCCAACCUAAAGUGCUGCAGGAUUUUACUACUUGUGAGUUUACCUCCUUCGGAGGGGCUUGACUAUAGACAACAUGGCGGGGAAGACAUUAGAUGACAUAUUCAAUGAUGUCCUGAAGCAGGACACUACGUCCAAAUUUCAGGCUUCAGAGGAUUUGCAGAACUAUCUCCAGGACAAUAAGAAUUCUCUUCACUGUGAUAAUAUGGACAGAUUAGUGGAUGCCCUAGCAGGAUGGGUGAAUAGUAGUAAUUUCAAGAUAUCUCUCUGUGGUCUUGAGUGUUUAUCAUUACUUGUUGAUAGAAU